CGGACUUCCACAGCGUUGUCAAUUGUUAUAGUCAGGUCCUGGGUAGGAGAGCCCUUCACUGGAAGGAAAAGGAGUUCAGUCUUGUCAAUGUUGAGGUUCAGAAGGUGUGUGGAUAUCCAAGAAGUAAUGUCACGCCAAGAGACAUGCUGCUACUUGAUUUUUAGACUCAGAUAGAUAAUUAGUUGGGUGUCAUCUGCUUAGCUGUGAUAAGAAAAGCUGUGCGAGUAAAUGACAGCCCCGAGAGAGUUGGUGUACGUAAAAAAGAGGAGUGAACCCAGGACUGAUCCCGGAGGAACCCCAGUUUUGACUUGGAAAGGUUCCGAGAUAGAUCCUCUCCAAGUUCACUAGUAGGUUCAGUCUGCCAGGUAAGAUGUGAGCAAAGAGAGCACAGAGCCUGAGACACCCAGAUUCUGGAGUGUCAAAAUAAGGAUCUGGUCGUUUACUGUGUCGAAGGCAGCUGAAAGGUCCAGAAGAAUGACAAUGGAAGCAAGAGAGGUUGCUCUUGCAAUGUGAAGCUGCUCAGUGACAGAAAGGAGGAAUGUUUCUGUUGAGUGGCCAGCCUUGAAGCCAGACUAGUGGGGAUCAAGAAGGUUUUUCGGGUGGAGAUGAGUAGAGAGUUGAUUGUAAAUGGCACGCUCAAGAGUUUUGGAUAGAAAUGGAAGAAGGGAGACGGGUGUGUAGUUAUUUACCUCAGUCGAGUCGAGUUUUGGUUUUUUGAGCAGUGGAGUCACUCUUGCCUCUUUAAUGGCGUUGCAAAACAGCCAGUUGACAAGGAGAUGUUGAUGAGAUGGGUGAGGAAAGGAAGAACUAGAGCAAUAGACUGGAGAAGGUGAGAAGGGAUACGAUCAAGGGGAAGGUGGUUGGACAAGCGCAGGUAAUCAAAGUAAGAAUUUGAGUUGGAGAUAGAGGGUUGAAAGAGGAAAGAGUACUGUAUGUGAUGGAUGUAAAGUUGAUAUCAGGAGUGUAUCAACUCAUUUGGCAAUGGCUUGAAUGUAACGGACAUUCAUUAAAAUAAAAAUGUUACGCACUAAAGCUUUAACUUAAGAUGCUUAUUUUAGACGACAUGACUCCAGAAAAUAUCAUUUGUUUACUAAUGAUUUUUAGUAAUGACUACUAAUUUAAACUUGAUUUGUCUACUGCAUCGACUUACCGCUCUGUGUUAAAACAACUUGACCUGUUAAGUUUCACCUUGUGUAAAAACGUAGAUGGUUUAGGGUAACAGGUUUCCACACAAGUUUCUAGUAAAGUCAAC